rnacentral:rRNA from 1 species
UACGUAGGGUGCAAGCGUUAAUCGGAAUUACUGGGCGUAAAGCGUGCGCAGGCGGCUUUGCAAGACAGAUGUGAAAUCCCCGGGCUUAACCUGGGAACUGCAUUUGUGACUGCAUGGCUGGAGUGCGGCAGAGGGGGAUGGAAUUCCGCGUGUAGCAGUGAAAUGCGUAGAUAUCUGGAGGAACACCGGUGGCGAAGGCGGCAUCCUGGACCAAUUCUGACGCUGAGGAGCGAAAGCCAGGGGAGCAAACGGG